rnacentral:rRNA from 1 species
UUAUAAGCCCUGGUGAAUGUCGGCCUUAACUAUAAGGGUCCUAAGGUAGCGCAAUUCCUUGUCAGGUAAGUUCUGACGCGUUGAAUAGUGUAACGACUGGGCAACUGUCUCGGAGAACAGCUCGGUGAAAAUACAGUACCGGUGAAGAUGCCGGUUACCUGCAGCUAGACGAAAAGACCCCGGAAGCUUCACUACAACUUGGUAUUGACUGCAUUUUUUUGAUGCGUAGCGUAGAGAGUAGGAUUUGAAGUCGUGAUUUCGGUUGCGAUGGAUCCGCCGAUGAAACACUCUUCUUUAAAAAUAUGCAUUCUAACCUGUUCGGUAAAAACGAGCGGGAACAGUACUUGGUAGGUAGUUUUGGUGGGGCGCUAUCCUUCUAAAAAGUAACGAAGGAGUCUAUUAAGGUUGGCUAGGCGCGAAUGGAAACCGUGCCGAUAGUGCAAUAGCAUAAGCCAGCUUGACUGCGAGGAGGACAUUCCGAGCAGGCGCGAAAGCGGAGUAUAGUGAACCGAUGGUACGCGUUAGACGCGGCCAGAGAUUAUCGGACAAAAGCUACUCCGGGGAUAACAGGCUAGUUCCGCCUAAGAGUCCAUAUCGACGGCGGAGUUCGGCACCUUAACAUAUCGGGGUGCGAUAUUAGUAAUAAUAUUAGCCGUUUCAAUAAAACCAGUUAAGAUAGAACUGGAUGUUGAAAUUAAAUAAAAUCAUGGCUUAUAACGGUGGACUCCAUAUUUUUAAUUUAAAUAUGGACAAUACCGUGGGAAGUUUAACCAAUUGAAAGAGAUCAAAUUUUACUGUGUUGGUUAUAACCCCGUAGAGACUUGUUCCUAAGAAAUUAAAUAUUUCAAAGGACGGAGUUGUUUUCUGAGAGCCCGCCUGUUAAGGCGAGGUUCGCCAGAGGCGACUAAAACGCCAUCUCCUUUAAGAUCUUAAAGGAAGAAGAUAUAGUCCGAUCCUGCGAGUAAUCGCAGACAAAUACGACAGCGAUGUCGGCUUAUCACAUCCCGGGGCUGGAGAAGGUCCCAAGGGUAUGGCUGUUCGCCAUUUAAAGUGCUACAUGAGCUGGGUUCAGACCGUCGCGAGACAGGUUGGUCUCCUAUCUGCUGCAGGCGUUGAUUCUUGAGGAGAGUUCUCACUAGUACGAGAGGACCGUGAGGAACUGACCUCUGGUGUAUCUGCUCUACCGCCAGGUGGAACGCAGAGUAGCUAUGUCGGGUACAGAUAACCGCUGAAAGCAUCUAAGCGGGAAACUGCCUCCAAGAUUAGGAAUCGUUUAGGCUCGUAAUAGACUAUUACGUUGAUAGGCUUUAGGUGUAAGCACAGUAAUGUGUUCAGCCGUGAAGUACUAAUCCGCCGAUCUUGUUGGGAAA